ACAAGCAGGCUCAGAAGUAGCAUGGCAGAUAAAUCUUGGGUGGAAGACAGGUCAAAUGACACAUUGAAGGCUAAGCCAACCAUUACUGCUAAGAACUUGCAGAAAAGGCUAGUAGAGUAGUACAAUGUGCAUGGUGGGUAUGACACGGUGUUUUUAGGUAAAGAAAGGGCAUUGGCUCAGUUUUAUCGUAGUUGGUAUGACAAUUUCAAGAGAUUGCUCAACUUCAAAGCGGAGGAUUUGAGGUCUCCUGGCAGCAUUGUAGAGGUUGAUAGUCUGGCAAAGGAUGGUAAAAUUUAUUUCAGCAGAUUUUUUAUGUGUCUUAAACCUUGCAUUGACGGAUUUCAUGUUGGUUGUAGACCAUAUCUUAGCAUAGAUUCCACUGCACUUAAUGGGAAGCGGAAUGGGCAGCUAGCUUCUUGGACUACCCUUGAUGGGCACAAUUGGAUGUUUCCUAUAGCAAUUGCUUUUUUCUAAUAUGAAACUGAAGAAAGUUGGCCUUGGUUCAUGCCUAAUUUGCAUAGAGCGAUAGGUCAUAUGCCAACCUUAGCUAUUAGCAUUUAUGCUUGUAAAGGAUUAGAAAAUGUUGUGAAGGAAGUUUUCCCUCAUGCAGAGAGAAAAAGUAUUUAA
rnacentral:rRNA from 1 species